UUUAAUAAGAAUUUCAGCUUUGGG
rnacentral:piRNA from 1 species